GGAAACUGAGAAUAAUACCCGAUAGAACAUUAUGCCUGGAACGGUUAAUGUUUCAAAUAAUUUAUUGCCGUAGGAUGGGACUGCGGCCUAUCAGUUUGUUGGUGAGGUAAUGGCCCACCAAGACUAUUACAGGUACGGGCUCUGAGAGGAGUAGCCCGGAGAUGGGUACUGAGACACGGACCCAGGCCCUAUGGGGCGCAGCAGGCGAGAAAACUUUGCAAUGUGCGAAAGCACGACAAGGUUAAUCCGAGUGGUUUCUGCUAAAGGAACCUUUUGCCAGUCCUAGAAACACUGGUGAAUAAGGGGUGGGCAAGUUCUGGUGUCAGCCGCCGCGGUAAAACCAGCACCUCAAGUGGUCAGGAUGAUUAUUGGGCCUAAAGCAUCCGUAGCCUGCUUUGUUAGUUUUCGGUUAAAUCUAUUCGCUCAACGAAUAGGCUGCCGGGAAUACUGCAAAGCUAGGGAGUGGGAGAGGUAGACGGUACUCGGUAGGAAGGGGUAAAAUCCUUUGAUCUAUUGAUGACCACCUGUGGCGAAGGCGGUCUACCAGAACACGUCCGACGGUGAGGGAUGAAAGCUGGGGGAGCAAACCGGAUUAGAUACCCGGGUAGUCCCAGCUGUAAACUAUGCAAACUCAGUGAUGCAUUGGCUUGAUGCCAAUGCAGUGCUGCAGGGAAGCCGUUAAGUUUGC
rnacentral:rRNA from 1 species